UACUACGGUCAUGCCACCCUGAACAAGCCCGAUCCCAUCUGAUCUCAGAAGCUAAGUAGGGUCAGGCCUGGUUAGUACUUGGAUGGGAGACCACCUAGGAAGACUAGGUGCUGUAGGUG
rnacentral:rRNA from 1 species